rnacentral:rRNA from 1 species
GAUGAACGCUAGCGGCAGGCUUAACACAUGCAAGUCGAGGGGUAGGGGCUUUCGGGCCUUGAGACCGGCGCACGGUGCGUAACGCGUAUGCAAUCUGCCUUCCACAGAGGGAUAGCCCAGAGAAAUUUGGAUUAAUACCCCAUAGCAUUACAGGAUGGCAUCAUCCGGUAAUUAAAGUCACAACGGUGGAAGAUGAGCAUGCGUCCCAUUAGCUAGUUGGUAAGGUAACGGCUUACCAAGGCGACGAUGGGUAGGGGUCCUGAGAGGGAGAUCCCCCACACUGGUACUGAGACACGGACCAGACUCCUACGGGAGGCAGCAGUGAGGAAUAUUGGUCAAUGGGCGCAAGCCUGAACCAGCCAUGCCGCGUGCAGGAUGACGGUCCUAUGGAUUGUAAACUGCUUUUGUACGGGAAGAAACACUGAUUCGUGAAUCAGCCUGACGGUACCGUAAGAAUAAGGAUCGGCUAACUCCGUGCCAGCAGCCGCCGUAAUAC